rnacentral:rRNA from 1 species
GACGAACGCUGGCGGCGUGCCUAACACAUGCAAGUCGAACGAGUGGCGAAGGGGGGAGUAAUACGUGGGUAGCCUGCCCUCUUUUUGGGAUAAGCCUUGGAAACGGGGUCUAAUACCGAAUAAAGGGGCAGGGGUUCGCGUGCCAUCGGCUUGUUGGUGGGGUGAUGGCCUACCAAGGCGGUGACGGGUAGCCGGCCUGAGAGGGUGACCGGCAACAGUGGGACUGCGAUACUGCCCAGGGUUCUACGGGGGGGAGCAGUGGGGGAUAUGGCAGAAUGGGGGAAAGCCUGAUGCAGCGACGCCGAGUGGGGGAUGAGGGCUUUCGGGUUGGUAACGUCUUUCGAUAGAGAAUCGGUAGGUGGAGAAGAAGCGCCGGCUAACUACGUGCCAGCAGCCGCGGUAAUUC